UCUCCCUGGUCUCAAUCUCUUUGUCUCUUCCAUCGAUCAGACAAAACUCACCGAUUCCAGAAGCAGAGAAAGCGCUGAAUCCACUCCGAAAUAGGCUCUGUAACCCUAAUUUCAUUUUAAAAUUCCUCUCCGUCUCUCCUGAAAGCAAUUUCAGGUCCGCUUUCUCUUCCGUUUUGGUUCGUCAAAGUCGGUUGAAAUCCGAUUAGAAGUUGAAAAUGAAUAGUGAUCGACGCUGUUUUGUCAAUCACUGUCGACCACGAUAGAAGGAUAGAAGGGUGUUAGUCGAUGUCAAUCAACAUGCCUUGUGUCUAAAUGACUAUCACUUAUCAAUCACGUGGUAUUGCUGUUAGUGUAAAAUUUUAAGAAGAGAACUACCAGAAGCUGUUAUUCCAAAUCCCAUAAGGUUCUUCAACUCUACUACUUUGUAUUCUUUCCCCUGUUCCUUUAUUUUAUCUGUCUGGUUUCUUUGUUUCUCAGAUCUCACAAUUCUUUUCUACAAGCCCUAAUAAAAUACAACUGUUACAUCCA